UGCAAGUCGAACGCUUUUUCUUUCACCGGAGCUUGCUCCACCGAAAGAAAAGGAGUGGCGAACGGGUGAGUAACACGUGGGUAACCUGCCCAUCAGAAGGGGAUAACACUUGGAAACAGGUGCUAAUACCGUAUAACAAUCGAAACCGCAUGGUUUCGGUUUGAAAGGCGCUUUUGCGUCACUGAUGGAUGGACCCGCGGUGCAUUAGCUAGUUGGUGAGGUAACGGCUCACCAAGGCAACGAUGCAUAGCCGACCUGAGAGGGUGAUCGGCCACAUUGGGACUGAGACACGGCCCAAACUCCUACGGGAGGCAGCAGUAGGGAAUCUUCGGCAAUGGACGCAAGUCUGACCGAGCAACGCCGCGUGAGUGAAGAAGGUUUUCGGAUCGUAAAACUCUGUUGUUAGAGAAGAACAAGGAUGAGAGUAGAAUGUUCAUCCCUUGACGGUAUCUAACCAGAAAGCCACGGCUAACUACGUGCCAGCAGCCGCGGUAAUACGUAGGUGGCAAGCGUUGUCCGGAUUUAUUGGGCGUAAAGCGAGCGCAGGCGGUUUCUUAAGUCUGAUGUGAAAGCCCCCGGCUCAACCGGGGAGGGUCAUUGGAAACUGGGAAACUUGAGUGCAGAAGAGGAGAGUGGAAUUCCAUGUGUAGCGGUGAAAUGCGUAGAUAUAUGGAGGAACACCAGUGGCGAAGGCGGCUCUCU
rnacentral:rRNA from 1 species